CUGUUAGCUGCACGUGUUUGGAGGCGGGGGCGGAGCAAGUUCCUGGGAGAAAACGAGCUGAAGAACCUAAAAGUGCAUUAUCAUACCCAGCUUUAUAAGGACACCACAGACGUCCUGCACCUCCUGCACACUCAGGCCAUACAGAUCGUCACGGAAGCCAGUGCCGUGUGCUACACAGACCUAAUGUUCUUUGAUGAACAAAGGAAUCAGUGAAGUCAGCAGGAUGGGUGUUACCUCAAAACUCGUGGACGAUGAACUUCAUGCAAAAGAUCGGAGUGUGGAAAUGUCCUCUGCUGUGCACAAUGUCUCCUGUAGGGGGCAGCAAAGACCAUCACUCUCACCAGUGCGUGCUGUCACACUUUGUGAAGAAUUUACUGACUUCACUUACAAUAUUAACGUCAUUUAAAAUAAAGCAUCAUAUUGUUAAAAAAUAACCUGGUUAUGAAGCUGUUCGAUAGAUCAGAGUAAUAAUAAAAGUGUUU